UUGGAUAUGUUGGUUCAAGCCUGUAGUCGUGCCUGGUAGGCAAAUCCGCCGGGCUUAGAUGAGGGGUGAUAACGAGUCUGCUUGCAGACGAAGUGAGUGAUACCCUGCUUCCAGGAAAAGCCACUAAGCUUCAGCUAUUGACGACCGUACCGCAAACCGACACUGGUGCGCGAGAUGAGUAUUCUAAGGCGCUUGAGAGAACUCUGGAGAAGGAACUCGGCAAAUUGAUACCGUAACUUCGGGAGAAGGUAUGCCCCAAGUAGGUGAACCUGUACAAGGCGAGCCCAAAGGGGUUGCAAAAAAUCGGUGGCUGCGACUGUUUAAUAAAAACACAGCACUCUGCAAACACGAAAGUGGACGUAUAGGGUGUGACGCCUGCCCGGUGCUGGAAGAUUAAAUGAUGGGGUGCAAGCUCUUGAUUGAAGUCCCAGUAAACGGCGGCCGUAACUAUAACGGUCCUAAGGUAGCGAAAUUCCUUGUCGGGUAAGUUCCGACCUGCACGAAUGGCGUAACGAUGGCCACACUGUCUCCUCCAGAGACUCAGCGAAGUUGAAAUGUUUGUGAUGAUGCAAUCUACCCGCGGAAAGACGGAAAGACCCCAUGAACCUUUACUGUAGCUUUGUAUUGGACUUUGAACAGAUCUGUGUAGGAUAGGUGGGAGGCUUUGAAGCGUGGUCGCUAGAUCAUGUGGAGCCAACGUUGAAAUACCACCCUGGUGUGUUUGAGGUUCUAACCUAGGUCCAUUAUCUGGAUCGGGGACAGUGCAUGGUAGGCAGUUUGACUGGGGCGGUCUCCUCCCAAAGCGUAACGGAGGAGUUCGAAGGUACGCUAGUUACGGUCGGACAUCGUGACGAUAGUGCAAUGGCAUAAGCGUGCUUAACUGCGAGACUGACAAGUCGAGCAGAUGCGAAAGCAGGACAUAGUGAUCCGGUGGUUCUGUAUGGAAGGGCCAUCGCUCAACGGAUAAAAGGUACUCUGGGGAUAACAGGCUGAUACCGCCCAAGAGUUCAUAUCGACGGCGGUGUUUGGCACCUCGAUGUCGGCUCAUCUCAUCCUGGGGCUGUAGCCGGUCCCAAGGGUAUGGCUGUUCGCCAUUUAAAGAGGUACGUGAGCUGGGCUUAAAACGUCGUGAGACAGUUUGGUCCCUAUCUUCCGUGGGCGCUGCAGAUUUGAGGAAGCCUGCUCCUAGUACGGGAGGACCGGAGUGGACACACCUCUGGUGUACCGGUUGUCACGCCAGUGGCAUCGCCGGGUAGCUAAGUGUGGAAGAGAUAACCGCUGAAAGCAUCUAAGCGGGAAACUCGUUUCAAGAUGAGAUCUGCCGGGGGCUCGACCCCCCUGAAGAGUC
rnacentral:rRNA from 1 species